CAGCAGACCGACCUCUGGAUGUCUUCAGGGUAGGUGGCGCUAAACAUUAGAGUCUGACGAUUCUCCUUGGACGGCAUUCCAGGGGAGCCAACCAGGCGCCGCAUGUCUGGCUCAAAGCCCAUGUCCAACAUCCGGUCGGCCUCGUCCAGCACCAGCAGACGUCCAGGAGUUCCACACACCACGUUACAUCCUUUCAGGAUUUCCCUGAUCUGGUGUCCAGUGCUGACUCCUCCAUAGACCACAACAGGUCGGACACACGUCCUGAAACACCAGGAGGAAGAGUUCAGCUCCUGCCUGGUCCUCCAGGUUUCUAACCCUCACACCUACCCAUAAGCAAACUUCCUAGCCUCCAGGUAGAUCUGGUUGAUGAGUUCUCUGGUUGGAGCGACUAUGACGGCUUCGGGUUCUUGUGUCUCACUGAAGCGACUGGCCGCCACGCCGUCCGUCAUGAGCUGCUGCAGGAUGGGCAGCAGGAAAGCAGCCUACAGGACAGGAAGGAACGCUUAGUUUAAGAUUUUACACACUGGUUGGAUCGUAUCCAAAAGUACAACAUUUUUAUUAUUCAACAGAAUUCCUAUCUUUAAGAUCUCACCGUCUUCCCAGAGCCGGUCUGUGCACAGGCCAUGAGGUCUCUGCCUGCAGAGAUGAUGGGGAUGCCAUGCUUCUGCACCGGGGUCGGCUUCACGUAGCCAGACUUGCUGAUGUUUUUCCUCAGGGACUCACACAGGGCCGCCUCGUCAAAGGUCUGAGGGACGGAUGGAGUCAGUGUGGCUGCAGUCCUCCAUCAGACACACAGCUGAGGGACUCACCAUGAUGGCCCUGGGGGGGUUGGUGCCGCUGAUGUCCACCAAGAUGUCGUCGUACUUGUCAAAGUUGAUUCCACUCUUAUAAUGGGAGAAGAUGGAGUCUUCGUCUUCAGGGAGCGUUGGAGGAACGUAUGUGACUCUCGGUUCUGCGGGUCAGAACAGACACCAGGUUCUAGGCGGCAGAACAUGCUGUGUUUAUCUAAGAGCCCAGACGAUCACUUACUGUCACUAUCAGGGUCGUCCUUAACUGAACCUUUGUCUUCUCCUGCAGCACACAGAACAGCCAUUACAGAUUCACACUCGCACACAUCAGUUCAUUCUCUCGUCCUGUAGCCUCAAACCUGGAUUGAAGGUCUCUUCGUCUUUUCCACGGUAACCUGCAACGACAGACACAGUGAGCUCUUGCUGACAGAAAACUCCUCUCAAGACAAAGGUCUGGGUGGCCAACCUCCACCAAAGCCUCCUCUUCCUCCCUGCUCAGCAUCUUCAACACACAAGCAGUGAUUAGUCAACAGCAACACCUGUGUGUGCAGAAAGCUGUGCAUCCAUUAGUACCUUGUCUGAAUCCUCCUCUUCCUCCCCGACCUCCUCUUCCUCGCCCUCUGAACCCUGCCAAUCAGAACAUUCAGCCAAUCAGGAGCUCUUAGAGCAGCAGAAGGAAAACCUUCAAGGUCAUCCCUACCAUUCUCAUGAGCUCCAUCACCAUCCUCUGCAAAUCAGAGACCAAAAGUCUUAGAGGCUGAUCAACUCCCAGGAAACAAAACCAAAAUAAAGAUUUACAAACAUUA